rnacentral:rRNA from 1 species
ACGAUGGCCACACUGUCUCCUCCCGAGACUCAGCGAAGUUGAAGUGGUUGUGAAGAUGCAAUCUACCCGCUGCUAGACGGAAAGACCCCGUGAACCUUUACUGUAGCUUUGCAUUGGACUUUGAAGUCACUUGUGUAGGAUAGGUGGGAGGCUUGGAAGCAGAGACGCCAGUCUCUGUGGAGUCGUCCUUGAAAUACCACCCUGGUGUCUUUGAGGUUCUAACCCAGACCCGUCAUCCGGGUCGGGGACCGUGCAUGGUAGGCAGUUUGACUGGGGCGGUCUCCUCCCAAAGCGUAACGGAGGAGUUCGAAGGUUACCUAGGUCCGGUCGGAAAUCGGACUGAUAGUGCAAUGGCAAAAGGUAGCUUAACUGCGAGACCGACAAGUCGGGCAGGUGCGAAAGCAGGACAUAGUGAUCCGGUGGUUCUGUAUGGAAGGGCCAUCGCUCAACGGAUAAAAGGUACUCCGGGGAUAACAGGCUGAUUCCGCCCAAGAGUUCAUAUCGACGGCGGAGUUUGGCACCUCGAUGUCGGCUCAUCACAUCCUGGGGCUGUAGUCGGUCCCAAGGGUAUGGCUGUUCGCCAUUUAAAGUGGUACGUGAGCUGGGUUUAAAACGUCGUGAGACAGUUUGGUCCCUAUCUGCAGUGGGCGUUGGAAGUUUGACGGGGGCUGCUCCUAGUACGAGAGGACCGGAGUGGAACAAAAAAA